rnacentral:rRNA from 1 species
GGAAUUUUCCGCAAUGGGCGAAAGCCUGACGGAGUGACGCCGCGUGGGGGACGACGGCCUUCGGGUCGUAAACCCCUGUCAGAGGGAAAGAAGGGCGUUGGCGUGAAUAGCGCCGACGUCUGACGGUACCUUCAGAGGAAGCCCCGGCCAACGCUGUGCCAGCAGCCGCGGUAAGACAGAGGGGGCAAGCGUUGCUCGGAAUCACUGGGCGUAAAGGGCGCGUAGGCGGGAUGGCAAGUCAGUCGUGAAAUCUCUCGGCUCAACCGAGAAACGUCGGCUGAUACUGCCGUUCUUGAGGGAUGCAGAGGAGACUGGAAUUCCCGGUGUAGCGGUGAAAUGUGUAGAGAUCGGGAGGAACACCGGUGGCGAAGGCGGGUCUCUGGGCAUUUCCUGACGCUGAGGCGCGAAAGCGUGGGGAGCAAAC